rnacentral:tRNA from 1 species
UGGAGGAGUGUUCGAGUGGCCGAUGGAGCACGCUUGGAAAGCGUGUGUACACGUAAGUGUACCGUGGGUUCGAAUCCCACCUCCUCCGA